rnacentral:misc_RNA from 1 species
GAUGAAGAACGUAGCGAAAUGCGAUACUUGGUGUGAAUUGCAGAAUCCCGUGAACCAUCGAGUCUUUGAACGCAAGUUGCGCCCGAAGCCACUAGGCCGAGGGCACGCCUGCCUGGGCGUCACACGCCGUUGCCCCCCCAUCUACUCCUUCGGGAUUGCGGGGGGGCGGAUGAUGGCCUCCCGUGCGCCUAGCCGCGCGGUUGGCAUAAAUACCAAGUCCUCGGCGACGCACGCCACGACAAUCGGUGGUUGCGAAACCUCGGUUGCCCGUCGUGUGCGUUCGUCGCGCAUCGAGGGCUCGAAAAAAUGCUCGGCUCCGGCUGGGCUUUCAACGCGACCCCAGGUCAGGCGGUUACCCGCUGAAUUUAAGCAUAUCAAUAAGCGGAGGA